UACGUAGGUGGCAAGCGUUGUCCGGAUUUACUGGGCGUAAAGAGCGCGCAGGCGGUCGUUCAAGUCGCGUGUGAAAGCCCCCGGCUCAACUGGGGAGGGUCACGCGAUACUGAUCGACUCGAAGGCAGGAGAGGGUAGUGGAAUUCCCGGUGUAGUGGUGAAAUGCGUAGAUAUCGGGAGGAACACCAGUGGCGAAAGCGGCUCUCUGGGACGGUACUGACGCUGAGACGCGAAAGCGUGGGGAGCGAACAGG
rnacentral:rRNA from 1 species